rnacentral:rRNA from 1 species
UACGAACUGUGCAAACGUUAUUCGGAAUCACUGGGCUUAAAGGGUGCGUAGGCGGCCAGAUAAGUAGGGUGUGAAAGCCUCCGGCUUAACCGGAGAAUGGCGCUCUAAACUGUCUGGCUGGAGUGAGAUAGGGGUGUGCGGAACUUCCGGUGGAGCGGUGAAAUGUGUUGAUAUCGGAAGGAACGCCGGUGGCGAAAGCGGCACACUGGAUCUCAACUGACGCUGAGGCACGAAAGCCAGGGGAGCAAAC